rnacentral:sRNA from 1 species
AUGCUGCUAAAACUCCCAAGAAGUGUCUCUCCAAUCCGCAGCCUGAACGCAACCAGAUAUCACAGAAUUCCAAGUGACCAGUGGUUUUUCACUCCUGUCAUAAAACAAAGAUAAUGCAGCUUCUAUCUCAUCAAAUCUUGAAUACAUGCUUAUUAGCCCAUUUGCAACCAAGCAAUCAUUAGUCAGCCCGUUCUUCAACCCAUAACCAUGGAAAGCACAUCCAAUGGAAAAAUGAGUCGGAUUAGUGAUUCCAUGUAGGACACCAAUUAAUGCAACUGCAUCUGGUCUAAUGCCUAGUAGCAGAGUUUGGGUAAAACACUCCACCGCAGACUCUACAUCACCUUUUUCCGAAUAGCUAGAGAUUAUCGCAGUUAACGAAAUCAGGUCCUUUGUGGGAUAACGCUUGUAAAGCAAUUUUGCCAUAUCUGUGAGCCCUUGCUUUGCAUAUAGACAAACCAGGGAGGUUACAACAGAAGCGUCACUGGUAAAGCCACAUUUGACAAUAUAACAAUGGACAGUUUCGGGAACAGCAUUAGCUGACGUAAGGUUCAUCAUUGUCACUGGACUGGGUUCCAAACCUUCCUUCAGCAUCUCUUUAAAGCACAAAACCGCCUUGUCCGAAAAACCAUUUUGGCAAUAGGCACCGAUCAUGGUAUUCCAAGAGAUAACAUUUUUCUCACCCAUCUCUACAAACAAGAGUAGGGCUGCUUCCAAGUCAUCGCAUUUAGCAUACAUAGAGGUAAGGGCAUUAUUCAACUGAGGAUCAAAACCAAAGCCAGCUUUGAUCCCAAAUCCAUGAACGGAUCCACCAUGAGGAAUAAAUUCGCGACGACCAAAUGAGGGCAACAAACUAGCAAUUGUUGUCUGGUUAGGCCUAAAACUCUCUCUAAGCAUCUGCACAAAGAAUUGAAAAGCAUCACGAGGGAGUCCAUUUUGUGAAUAUCCACAAAUCAACACGUUCCAUGAAACCACAUCUUUCGAAGGCAUAUCUUCGAACAGUUGGUGUGCGUGGUUGGUGAACCCAAGUUUCAUGUAAAAGUCAAUGAGAGCGGUGUUUACAUACAGAAAAUUUUGAGUGGCCCGUUUCAACAAGUGGGUUUGAAUCUGGUUGGCUUGUAGGGUCGCAGAGGGUGAAGCGCGAGAGAAAGAAUGGGAGGAAAGGCAUGCUUUGAUGAGUAAAGAAAAGGUAACAUCGUUGGGGAUGGCAUUGGCUUGUAACAGUUGUCGGAAGAUAAGGAUUGGAAAAUUUGCAUCCUGGAAGAGAGAAUGAAACAGAGAAAGAUUGGUUUUAGAAGGCAACUUCAUUUCAUCAUCCUUUUACAGUUUCGUUCUGACAUUUAACUUAAACUUCUAAU